ACCUCCACCGCAGGAACAUGUACUGUUGUCAACACUAUGAUCGCAUCGGUAGACUCGGAAGCUAUCGUCAAACAGCAAAGCCGAAGGCGAAACUCAUCGACCUUCGUGCGCAGUCCCCGCACGUUUUGAUAGUAAACAGAGGCAGUGGAACGGGCAGUGCGAAGCGCAUUAG